GGGCGAAUGGUUUAGGGAUAUAACGUUCGCUUCGCAUGCGAAAGGUCCGGGGUUCGAUUCCCCGUUUGUCCA
rnacentral:tRNA from 1 species